AUGAACCUUUCACAGACGGCUGCCAUAGAAAUCAUAUAUUUAGAUUUGAAAUUGCUGCAAUCAGACUGUACUGCAGUUUUAAAUCCAACAGAAGAUAGAUGCAUUUUCCUCCUACUCCUGAAAAACAGAAUUCACCACAGAAACAGCUAUCUCAGUGAAUGGCCACAAUUAGCAUGGCUGAGCAGAAGAAGUCCUGUUUUCCUUGUUCUGCCUGCUAACCUCUGCAUCCAGUAAAACCCUCUAGAGAGCAAGGGUGUCCAUUUGUCCUCUGCCAAGAAAGAGUAAAGGGGAUGCAAACUUCAGUGCAGUCAGCACUGAGAAGUGGUAAGAAUUUAUUUGGUGCUUCUUUUGAGUCCCUCAGCUCAUGGAACUGCACCUUGAAGUGAGAGUCAUGGGAUACCCAUUUUGCACUUUGUGAAGUCUUGAUCCAGGGCAACACUGCUGGAAUUCAGUAUCAUUCACAGUAGGGCUGUGUUCCACACCUGUUUAUCCCAUCCUGCG
rnacentral:lncRNA from 1 species